rfam:TPA: Bos taurus chromosome 16, whole genome shotgun sequence.
UCCCUAAUAGCUCAGUUGGUAAAGAAUCUGCCUGCCACGCAGGAUACCCUAGUUCGAUCUCUGGGUUGGGAAG